UUAAAUCUUCAGGGCGGGGUGAGCCUGGCCUUCGUAGCUUUAUGCGAAGUAGGCAAGUCCCCACCGGUAGUAAUCCCUUAUGGGUAGUCUACGAGGCCUUUGGCCAGGAGUGCUGUGCGAUUCAGCCGCCGACGGUAUAGUCCGGAUAAAAGAAGGUAUAA
rnacentral:ncRNA from 2 species